rnacentral:rRNA from 1 species
AUUGAACGCUGGCGGCAUGCCUUACACAUGCAAGUCGAACGGCAGCACGGGGCAACCUGGUGGCGAGUGGCGAACGGGUGAGUAAUGCAUCGGAACGUACCUUUCAGUGGGGGAUAACGUAGCGAAAGUUACGCUAAUACCGCAUAUUCUGUGAGCAGGAAAGCAGGGGAUCGCAAGACCUUGCGCUGAUUGAGCGGCCGAUGUCAGAUUAGCUAGUUGGUGAGGUAAAGGCUCACCAAGGCGACGAUCUGUAGCGGGUCUGAGAGGAUGAUCCGCCACACUGGAACUGAGACACGGUCCAGACUCCUACGGGAGGCAGCAGUGGGGAAUUUUGGACAAUGGGGGCAACCCUGAUCCAGCCAUGCCGCGUGAGUGAAGAAGGCCUUCGGAUUGUAAAGCUCUUUCGGCCGGGAAGAAAUCGCGCAGGCUAAUACCCUGUGUGGAUGACGGUACCGGAAUAAGAAGCACCGGCUAACUACGUGCCAGCCGCCGCAGUAAUAC